UGGGGAAUAUUGCACAAUGGGCGCAAGCCUGAUGCAGCCAUGCCGCGUGUAUGAAGAAGGCCUUCGGGUUGUAAAGUACUUUCAGCGGGGAGGAAGGUGUUGUGGUUAAUAACCACAGCAAUUGACGUUACCCGCAGAAGAAGCACCGGCUAACUCCGUGCCAGCAGCCGCGGUAAUACGGAGGGUGCAAGCGUUAAUCGGAAUUACUGGGCGUAAAGCGCACGCAGGCUGUCUGUCAAGUCGGAUGUGAAAUCCCCGGGCUCAACCUGGGAACUGCAUCCGAAACUGGCAGGCUUGAGUCUUGUAGAGGGGGGUAGAAUUCCAGGUGUAGCGGUGAAAUGCGUAGAGAUCUGGAGGAAUACCGGUGGCGAAGGCGGCCCCCUGGACAAAGACUGACGCUCAGGUGCGAAAGCGUGGGGAGCAAACA
rnacentral:rRNA from 1 species